GACGAACGCUGGCGGCGCGCCUAACACAUGCAAGUCGAACGGAGCUUAGAGAGCUUGCUUUUUAAGCUUAGUGGCGAACGGGUGAGUAACGCGUGAGUAACCUGCCCUAGAGUGGGGGACAACAGUUGGAAACGACUGCUAAUACCGCAUAAGCCCACGGUACCGCAUGGUACUGAGGGAAAAGGAUUUAUUCGCUUUAGGAUGGACUCGCGUCCAAUUAGCUAGUUGGUGAGGUAAUGGCCCACCAAGGCGACGAUUGGUAGCCGGACUGAGAGGUUGAACGGCCACAUUGGGACUGAGACACGGCCCAGACUCCUACGGGAGGCAGCAGUGGGGGAUAUUGCACAAUGGGGGGAAACCCUGAUGCAGCGACGCCGCGUGGAGGAAGAAGGUUUUCGGAUUGUAAAACUCCUGUCGUUAGGGACGAUAAUGACGGGUACCUAACAAGAAAGCACCGGCUAACUACGUGCCAGCAGCCGCGGU
rnacentral:rRNA from 1 species